GCCCGGGUGGUGGAACUGGUAGACACGCUAGCUUCAGGAGCUAGUGAUCGCGAGGUCGUGCAGGUUCAAAUCCUGUCCCGGGUACAA
rnacentral:tRNA from 8 species